rnacentral:rRNA from 1 species
AGCGAACGCUGGCGGCAGGCCUAAUACAUGCAAGUCGAGCGCACCUUCGGGUGAGCGGCGGACGGGUGAGUAACGCGUGGGAAUAUGCCCUUUGGUACGGAACAACUGAGGGAAACUUCAGCUAAUACCGUAUGUGCCCUUCGGGGAAAGAUUUAUCGCCAUUGGAGUAGCCCGCGUCUGAUUAGCUAGUUGGUGAGGUAAAAGCCCACCAAGGCGACGAUCAGUAGCUGGUGUAGAGAACGACCAGCCACACUGGGACGUGAGACACGGCCC